rnacentral:rRNA from 1 species
GAUGAACGCUGGCGGCGUGCCUAAUACAUGCGAGUCGAGCGAACAGACGAGGAGCUUGCUCCUUCGACGUUAGCGGCGGACGGGUGAGUAACACGUAGGUAACCUACCUAUAAGACUGGGAUAACUUCGGGAAACCGGAGCUAAUACCGGAGAAUAUUUCGAACCGCAUGGUUCGAUAGUGAAAGAUGGCUUUGCUAUCACUUAUAGAUGGACCUGCGCCGUAUUAGCUAGUUGGUAAGGUAACGGCUUACCAAGGCAACGAUACGUAGCCGACCUGUGAGGGUGAUCGGCCACACUGGAAGUGAGACACGGUCCAGACUCCUACGGGAGGCAGCAGUAGGGAAUGUUCGGCAAUGGGCGAAAGCCUGACGGAGCAACGCCGCGUGAGUGAUGAAGGUCUUCGGAGCGUAAAACUCUGUUAUUAGGGAAGAACAAACGUGUAAGUAACUGUGCACGUCUUGACGGUACCUAAUCAGAAAGCCACGGCUAACUACGUG